rnacentral:rRNA from 1 species
GCCAGCAGCCGCGGUAAUACUAAAGGUGCAAGCGUUAAUCGGAAUUACUGGGCGUAAAGCGCGCGUAGGUGGUUUGUUAAGUUGGAUGUGAAAGCCCAGGGCUCAACCUUGGAACUGCAUUCAAAACUGACUCACUAGAGUACGAGAGAGGUUAGUGGAAUUUCCUGUGUAGCGGUGAAAUGCGUAGAGAUGGGAAGGAACACCAGUGGCGAAGGCGACUGACUGGCUCGAUACUGACACUGAGGUGCGAAAGCGUGGGGAGCAAACGGGAUUAGAUACCCCGGUAGUCCACGCCGUAAACGAUGUCUACUAGCCGUUGGAGGACUUGAUCCUUUAGUGGCGCAGCUAACGCGAUAAGUAGACCGCCUGGGGAGUACGGUCGCAAGAUUAAAACUCAAAUGAAUUGACGGGGGCCCGCACAAGCGAUGGAGCAUGUGGUUUAAUUCGAAGCAACGCGAAGAACCUUACCUACUCUUGACAUCCAGUGAACUUUUGAGAGAUCAAUUGGUGCCUUCGGGAACACUGAGACAGGUGCUGCAUGGCUGUCGUCAGCUCGUGUUGUGAAAUGUUGGGUUAAGUCCCGUAACGAGCGCAACCCUUGUCCUUAGUUACCAUCAUUAAGUUGGGGACUCUAAGGAGACUGCCGGUGACAAACCGGAGGAAGGCGGGGACGACGUCAAGUCAUCAUGGCCCUUACGAGUAGGGCUAUGCACGUGCUACAAUGGCAUGUACAAAGGGUUGCCAAGCCGCGAGGUGGAGCUAAUCCCAUAAAGCAUGUCGUAGUCCGGAUUGGAGUCUGCAACUCGACUCCAUGAAGUCGGAAUCGCUAGUA